rnacentral:rRNA from 1 species
AUUGAACGCUGGCGGCAGGCCUAACACAUGCAAGUCGAGCGGAUGAGAGGAGCUUGCUCCUCGAUUCAGCGGCGGACGGGUGAGUAAUGCCUAGGAAUCUGCCCAGUAGUGGGGGACAACGUUUCGAAAGGAACGCUAAUACCGCAUACGUCCUACGGGAGAAAGUGGGGGAUCUUCGGACCUCACGCUAUUGGAUGAGCCUAGGUCGGAUUAGCUAGUUGGUAGGGUAAAGGCCUACCAAGGCGACGAUCCGUAACUGGUCUGAGAGGAUGAUCAGUCACACUGGAACUGAGACACGGUCCAGACUCCUACGGGAGGCAGCAGUGGGGAAUAUUGGACAAUGGGCGCAAGCCUGAUCCAGCCAUGCCGCGUGUGUGAAGAAGGCCCUCGGGUCGUAAAGCACUUUAAGUUGGGAGGAAGGGCUUACAGCGAAUACCUGUGAGUUUUGACGUUACCGACAGAAUAAGCACCGGCUAACUUCGUGCCAGCAGCCGCGGUAA